rnacentral:miRNA from 1 species
AGAAAGGUAUAGCUGUAAUAGU